GACGAACGCUGGCGGCGUGCCUAAUACAUGCAAGUAGAACGCUGAAGAGAGGAGCUUGCUCUUCUUGGAUGAGUUGCGAACGGGUGAGUAACGCGUAGGUAACCUGCCUUGUAGCGGGGGAUAACUAUUGGAAACGAUAGCUAAUACCGCAUAACAAUGGAUGACACAUGUCAUUUAUUUGAAGGGGCAAUUGCUCCACUACAAGAUGGACCUGCGUUGUAUUAGCUAGUAGGUGAGGUAACGGCUCACCUAGGCGACGAUACAUAGCCGACCUGAGAGGGUGAUCGGCCACACUGGGACUGAGACACGGCCCAGACUCCUACGGGAGGCAGCAGUAGGGAAUCUUCGGCAAUGGGGGCAACCCUGACCGAGCAACGCCGCGUGAGUGAAGAAGGUUUUCGGAUCGUAAAGCUCUGUUGUAAGUCAAGAACGAGUGUGAGAGUGGAAAGUUCACACUGUGACGGUAGCUUACCAGAAAGGGACGGCUAACUACGUG
rnacentral:rRNA from 1 species